CCACAGCUGGCUAGCUGGCUUGCUGACUGGCCUGCUGAGCGAAUCCUUAACACCCACAAGGAAAUGAAAACGGACCCAGAAAGUGAUAAAAAGCAGUCUGUGUUCUGACAGACACUACAGGGGGCUUUGGGAGAGCCCAGCCCCGGGCUGUGGGUGCAGCAGAUCAGUCAGGCAUGGAGUAUGGGCUCAGCAUGUGAGAGGCUGUGGACUGUCAGAAUGGUCAGAAGUCUCAAGCAGGGCAGCCUGCUCUGAAUCCAGCCCUAGAUGCUCUGCUGCUUUGCCUGUGCUCGGCUCCAUCCAUCACGAUUUGAGUUCAUUGCCGUGGAUCAAAAUUGAGUAUGUUGCCCACUAGCCGGCUGCAGCCUGAGACUCAGCCAAAGCUGGAGCCCCAAGCAGGAAGCACCCAGGAGGCUGACUCCCUAGCAGUACCCAGCAUGUGGCCAGCGCAGAGGAUCAUGGGAAACCAUUGCCGGAUGUGGUCUCGGGGAGCCUGGUUGUAUCAACAGGAAAAUAGAAGCUGAGUGAUUGCAGCUCUAGCAAAAGGACUCCUGGGAUGCGCAGAACCACGAGGGAGCUCAGAACACUCUGGGUGAAAGAAGCCAGACUCCCUGUGGUUUCAUUUAUAUAGAAAAAUCAAGACAGAAUUGUCUACCGUGGAUACCCUGGUGAUGAUUUGCCAUCCUUUGCCCACUGGCCUGUUUUUAUAUAUUCCCACCAUUUUACUGCCUAUUCCGUGUGGACAAGACAAGUCUAUGGAUGCAACGCAGUAUCCCGGAGCCUGCAACAAUACUGGCCCACACUGCUCUUUGGAUGGAGCUACCAUGCCUGUAGCUGUCCCAUACAAACCGCCCCAUUUGUGUUCUGGAAGGAAGAGGCCAGACUUCAACACUAUGCAUACCAGUCUAUCCACAGAACCCCCUCCUCUCCUUAUGUUCCCUGCAGGCCCGUGUUCAUGUCCUGAGCAGAUCUUCAGGGACCUCACUUUCCCCAUAUGUAGCAAGCUCCAUGACCCAAGGUGGCCUAGUCCCACAUCCCUCUCACAAACUGAAAUAAAAAAGGUGUCAAUUACUCUCUAGGGUUAUUACCGU